UUUUAAUGGGUGAUUGAUAGUUGUGAUACCAAUCCAAACACUUGAGCAAAAAAGUGGAAACGAGGUGUUGGAUUCCGUGUUAGAACUUCCUAAGGGUGAGAUCUAAAGCUUUUUGUGUUUCUUUCUCCUUCAUUGAAGCUAUUCCCACUUGAGCAAGUCUUUUCCUCUGUUCCUCUCUACUAAGCUCCUGGAAUGCAUUUUAGUGAGUAUGUCGGUUCCUUUCACGCUUUUCAUUGCAAUUUACUAAUGCAACAACAAUUAACAUCUAAAAUUAAAACUAAAGGUGCUAAUGUGUGUGAGGCUACUUUUCAAAAUGGAAGAUCUUCGUUACUCGAAAUUAAAGUGGUUAACCCGGAGAUUGCGGCGAGGAAUCGGUCGGAAACAGCUGGCACAACUCAAUCGAACUCAGCCUGGCGCGCACAGAGCUCUCAGGGGGCUUAGAUUUAUCAGCAAUAAUCAAAUGGUUUUCGUGGGAAUUUUAUACUAUUGAGAUUGAGAUCCAUGGCGGUUCACAAUGUCAUAAAAAAGUGGAACUACACUGCACCAGAGAGAAGAAAAUCAAUGGAGAAAAGAGGGAGAAGAACUAAAGAAUUGCUUCCUGAGAGAAGACGAGUGGUCAUGAACUUGCGAGUUUGGAUUUUGAUUUGUGACUAUCUUUUCCGCCAGUUUUGUAUUCUUAUAUUCUCUCCUCUGGUGCAGGACUUGCGGCUGAAUCAUCCUUUAAGUUUCACGGCAACACAAGAGAUAGGGUAAUGAAAGAAAAAGUUGAAACACUUGGGUAGAGUUUUGUAUUCGGGCUAUUGGUCUUUUUUGUAAGCUUCUUUGUUUGGGCCCAAUAAUUAAGCCUAAUGUUGAUCUUUAACGGGUUUAUGUUAGCAUCAUUAUGUUAGUUUCUAUCACUGCAUAAUUACUUUUAUUCAGCUAUAUAAUUUAUUCUUAUGAUAUAUAGAUAUUCAUAUGUUGUGUAAUUUAAUGUAAUUUUGCUUUUAUGUCUCUUCUGAGACAUCUAGAAUUAACAGCAACAUAUUGUGUAAUUUAAUAUAAUUCUAUUUUUAUUUCGAAA